AUGUUUGCUAGAAUUUACCUUGAAACCAUCUGGUCAUAGACUGGUUUGUUGGGAGUUUUUAGAUUAUAGAUUCAAUUUUAUUACUAGUAAUCAGUCUUUUCCGGUUUCUGUUUUUUCCUGAUUCAGUCUCAAAAGAUUGUAUGUUUCUAGAAAUUUAUCCAUUUCUUCUCGGUUGUCCAAUUUGAUGGCAUAUAACUGUUCAUGGUGUUUUAUGAUCUUUUAUAUUUCUGUGGUAUCAUUUGUAACUACUCUUUCAUAAUGGAUUUUAUUUCUUUAACUACUCUUUUUUUUUCUUGAUUAGUCUGGCUAAAUACCACCAUGUACUUCUGAACAGGGUAAGCAAGAAAAUGUCAGUUCUUCCAGUGGCAAAAUGAGAAGAUAUCUUCCAUAUACUUGACAUAUAAUUCCUAAGAUUUAGAGCUGAUUUUCAGCACAACUAUAUAAUGGGUGAAGCAUAUAUUUGAAAUCCUGCUCUUUGAGAAUUGUACCCUCUCCUCUCUAAACUAGUCAUCCAGUUUGCCACCUGGUUGGUCCCACUCUUUAUAUACCCGCCUCUGUAGGCUACACAUCAAUACACUUACCCAACCCUUUUUGCUAAUCUAAUGAAGUACUUCAUGCUAGCAUAAAAGAGGCCAGUUGUGAUUGUCAGGAUACGUUAGCAGCAGGCAUAUAAGCUCUUCGAAUCUGCUAGAUCAUGCAGUCUUCAAAGGUGGGGACCAUUGCAUCUUUCUCUAAUCCAUCACGUUCCUGCACUACAUAUACUAUUAAGUGAACAAGUAGAAGAGUUGAUACAAAAGUGUAUUUAUUAUUACAUCACCUCACAUCGUCUCCUCUUAUCCAUGGUCUCAGUUACCCAUGGUCAGCUGUGGUCCAGAAGCCGAUGAUCCUCCUGGUAUAUCUUCAGAAUGUCAGUAGUAGCCGAACACUACACCACAGCACCCACGUCAUUCCCUUCACUUCAUCUCCUCACCUAGGCAUUUUACACCUCGGCAUCACAAGGGGAAGGCAAUAUUAAGAGCAGUUUUCCCUGAAGCAGCUGGUAUCCACCACAUGGAUGUUCACAGCGUGAUUCCCAUACACACAGCGGAACUUCCUCGGGCUUGUAAGAUGAAGCCAAAGCUGCUGCCAGCCCUGUGAUUCUCUUCAGAACUGGUGGGUUUUUCCUGGAUUGAGUGUGAAUGUGCUGCUGCUUCUAGAAUGGAAGACAAGUACUAAAUGACUUGCGCAUCUCUCAUGCCUUCUGGAAACUCAUGCCUGGAAGAUACGGCCACUCAUUCCUAUGCUGCGUGGUGGCCUUUAAGAGGGCGACAGCAGCCUGCCAGCCUUCUGCAGAUGACUUGACUGCCGGCCAGGUGAUUACUAUACAAUUUAAGAGUACAAAUGUGGCAUGACAUCCUGGAAGUUGGUGAAAUAGGAAGAACCGGGAAUCCAUCUCUCUACCUAGAUAAUUAUACCAGCACAGUCUGUCUGAUGUAGCCGCUUUAGAGCUCUGCAGACUAUUCAAAGACUUGAAACUUCCAGGGCGGUGGUGACAAUUUCCUGUCCUAGAAUGAAUUCAAAGGAAAGCAGCUUCUCUUCUGUCUGGGACUGGGAACUCCUAUCAGCCUUGAGAGGAAACUCAGGUGAUGAAGGGAAUAAAGCCAUCUCGGAACCCAG